rnacentral:rRNA from 1 species
GGUUGAUCCUGCCGGAGGUUAUUGCUAUCCGGAUUCGACUAAGCCAUGCAAGUCUUGGUGUUCAAUUUAUUGGACACUAGGGCAGAAAGCUCAGUAACAUGUAGUUAAUAUGCCCUCAAGUCAGGGAUAAUUUCGGGAAACUGAAGCUAAUACCUGAUAGACAAGAAAUACUGGAGUGUUUUCUUUUCAAAAGCUUUUGCGCUUGAGGAUUGGACUGCACCGGAUUAGGUUGUUGUUAGGGUAACGUCCUGGCAAGCCGAUAAUCCGUACGAGCCUUGAGAGAGGAAGCUCGGAGAUGGAUUCUGAGACAAGAAUCCAGGCCCUACGGGGCGCAGCAGGCGCGAAACUUUCCCAAUGCACGCAAGCGUGAGGAAGGGAUCUGGAGUGCAUUCUCUUACAUAGGGGAUGCUUUUGUAGAGUGUAAACAGCUCUAAGAAUAAGUGGUGGGUAAGACGGGUGCCAGCCGCCGCGGUAAUACCCGCGCCACGAGUGAUAACCACGUUUAUUGGGCUUAAAGCGUUCGUAGCCGGUCUGGAAAGUCUUUAGUGAAAUCCCAUAGCUAACUAUGGGGCUCGCUAGAGAAACUAUUGGACUUGGAACCGGGAGAGGUCUGGGGUACUCAAGGGGUAGGGGUAAAAUCCUGUAAUCCUUUGGGGACCACCUGUGGCGAAGCGCCAGACCAGAACGGAUUCGACGGUGAGGGACGAAAGCUAGGGGAGCAAAGGGGAUUAGAUACCCCCGUAGUCCUAGCUGUAAACGAUGCCCACUAGACAUUGGCAAUCUUACGUGGGUUGCCAGUGUCGUA